UACGUAGGGGGCAAGCGUUGUCCGGAUUAAUUGGGAGUAAAGAGUGUGUAGGCGGCUAGGUAGGUAGGUUGUGAAAACUGGAGGCUCAACCUUCAGAGGUCGACCGAAACCAUCUGGCUAGAGUCCGGGAGAGGAGAGUGGAAUUCCUGGUGUAGCGGUGAAAUGCGCAGAUAUCAGGAAGAACACCCGUGGCGAAGGCGGCUCUCUGGGACGGUACUGACGCUGAGACGCGAAAGCGUGGGGAGCGAACAGG
rnacentral:rRNA from 1 species